GUAGUCUGCAACUCGACUACAUGAAGCUGGAAUCGCUAGUAAUCGCGAAUCAGAAUGUCGCGGUGAAUACGUUCCCGGGUCUUGUACACACCGCCCGUCACACCAUGGGAGUCAGUAACGCCCGAAGCCGGUGACCUAACCGAAAGGGAGGAGCCGUCGAAGGUGGGACCGAUAACUGGGGUGAAGUCGUAACAAGGUAAC
rnacentral:rRNA from 1 species